GGGUUGUGAGGUUAAGCGACUAAGCGUACACGGUGGAUGCCCUGGCAGUCAGAGGCGAUGAAGGACGUGCUAAUCUGCGAUAAGCGUCGGUAAGGUGAUAUGAACCGUUAUAACCGGCGAUUUCCGAAUGGGGAAACCCAGUGUGUUUCGACACACUAUCAUUAACUGAAUCCAUAGGUUAAUGAGGCGAACCGGGGGAACUGAAACAUCUAAGUACCCCGAGGAAAAGAAAUCAACCGAGAUUCCCCCAGUAGCGGCGAGCGAACGGGGAGGAGCCCAGAGCCUGAAUCAGUGUGUGUGUUAGUGGAAGCGUCUGGAAAGGCGCGCGAUACAGGGUGACAGCCCCGUACACAAAAAUGCACAUGCUGUGAGCUCGAUGAGUAGGGCGGGACACGUGGUAUCCUGUCUGAAUAUGGGGGGACCAUCCUCCAAGGCUAAAUACUCCUGACUGACCGAUAGUGAACCAGUACCGUGAGGGAAAGGCGAAAAGAACCCCGGCGAGGGGAGUGAAAAAGAACCUGAAACCGUGUACGUACAAGCAGUGGGAGCACGCUUAGGCGUGUGACUGCGUACCUUUUGUAUAAUGGGUCAGCGACUUAUAUUCUGUAGCAAGGUUAACCGAAUAGGGGAGCCGAAGGGAAACCGAGUCUUAACUGGGCGUUAAGUUGCAGGGUAUAGACCCGAAACCCGGUGAUCUAGCCAUGGGCAGGUUGAAGGUUGGGUAACACUAACUGGAGGACCGAACCGACUAAUGUUGAAAAAUUAGCGGAUGACUUGUGGCUGGGGGUGAAAGGCCAAUCAAACCGGGAGAUAGCUGGUUCUCCCCGAAAGCUAUUUAGGUAGCGCCUCGUGAACUCAUCUCCGGGGGUAGAGCACUGUUUCGGCAAGGGGGUCAUCCCGACUUACCAACCCGAUGCAAACUGCGAAUACCGGAGAAUGUUAUCACGGGAGACACACGGCGGGUGCUAACGUCCGUCGUGAAGAGGGAAACAACCCAGACCGCCAGCUAAGGUCCCAAAGUCAUGGUUAAGUGGGAAACGAUGUGGGAAGGCCCAGACAGCCAGGAUGUUGGCUUAGAAGCAGCCAUCAUUUAAAGAAAGCGUAAUAGCUCACUGGUCGAGUCGGCCUGCGCGGAAGAUGUAACGGGGCUAAACCAUGCACCGAAGCUGCGGCAGCGACGCUGAUGCGUUGUUGGGUAGGGGAGCGUUCUGUAAGCCUGUGAAGGUGUGCUGUGAGGCAUGCUGGAGGUAUCAGAAGUGCGAAUGCUGACAUAAGUAACGAUAAAGCGGGUGAAAAGCCCGCUCGCCGGAAGACCAAGGGUUCCUGUCCAACGUUAAUCGGGGCAGGGUGAGUCGACCCCUAAGGCGAGGCCGAAAGGCGUAGUCGAUGGGAAACAGGUUAAUAUUCCUGUACUUGGUGUUACUGCGAAGGGGGGACGGAGAAGGCUAUGUUGGCCGGGCGACGGUUGUCCCGGUUUAAGCGUGUAGGCUGGUUUUCCAGGCAAAUCCGGAAAAUCAAGGCUGAGGCGUGAUGACGAGGCACUACGGUGCUGAAGCAACAAAUGCCCUGCUUCCAGGAAAAGCCUCUAAGCAUCAGGUAACAUCAAAUCGUACCCCAAACCGACACAGGUGGUCAGGUAGAGAAUACCAAGGCGCUUGAGAGAACUCGGGUGAAGGAACUAGGCAAAAUGGUGCCGUAACUUCGGGAGAAGGCACGCUGAUAUGUAGGUGAAGUCCCUCGCGGAUGGAGCUGAAAUCAGUCGAAGAUACCAGCUGGCUGCAACUGUUUAUUAAAAACACAGCACUGUGCAAACACGAAAGUGGACGUAUACGGUGUGACGCCUGCCCGGUGCCGGAAGGUUAAUUGAUGGGGUCAGCGCAAGCGAAGCUCUUGAUCGAAGCCCCGGUAAACGGCGGCCGUAACUAUAACGGUCCUAAGGUAGCGAAAUUCCUUGUCGGGUAAGUUCCGACCUGCACGAAUGGCGUAAUGAUGGCCAGGCUGUCUCCACCCGAGACUCAGUGAAAUUGAACUCGCUGUGAAGAUGCAGUGUACCCGCGGCAAGACGGAAAGACCCCGUGAACCUUUACUAUAGCUUGACACUGAACAUUGAGCCUUGAUGUGUAGGAUAGGUGGGAGGCUUUGAAGUGUGGACGCCAGUCUGCAUGGAGCCGACCUUGAAAUACCACCCUUUAAUGUUUGAUGUUCUAACGUGGACCCGUGAUCCGGGUUGCGGACAGUGUCUGGUGGGUAGUUUGACUGGGGCGGUCUCCUCCUAAAGAGUAACGGAGGAGCACGAAGGUUGGCUAAUCCUGGUCGGACAUCAGGAGGUUAGUGCAAUGGCAUAAGCCAGCUUGACUGCGAGCGUGACGGCGCGAGCAGGUGCGAAAGCAGGUCAUAGUGAUCCGGUGGUUCUGAAUGGAAGGGCCAUCGCUCAACGGAUAAAAGGUACUCCGGGGAUAACAGGCUGAUACCGCCCAAGAGUUCAUAUCGACGGCGGUGUUUGGCACCUCGAUGUCGGCUCAUCACAUCCUGGGGCUGAAGUAGGUCCCAAGGGUAUGGCUGUUCGCCAUUUAAAGUGGUACGCGAGCUGGGUUUAGAACGUCGUGAGACAGUUCGGUCCCUAUCUGCCGUGGGCGCUGGAGAACUGAGGGGGGCUGCUCCUAGUACGAGAGGACCGGAGUGGACGCAUCACUGGUGUUCGGGUUGUCAUGCCAAUGGCACUGCCCGGUAGCUAAAUGCGGAAGAGAUAAGUGCUGAAAGCAUCUAAGCACGAAACUUGCCCCGAGAUGAGUUCUCCCUGACUCCUUGAGAGUCCUGAAGGAACGUUGAAGACGACGACGUUGAUAGGCCGGGUGUGUAAGCGCAGCGAUGCGUUGAGCUAACCGGUACUAAUGAACCGUGAGGCUUAACCUUACAACGCCGAAGGUGUUU
rnacentral:rRNA from 1 species